rnacentral:lncRNA from 1 species
GUCGACACCGYGUUGGCCGCUACUCUGCGCUCKCUCGGGGACGGGGCCCCGGUUCCUCCCCAGCGCGGGCUGGAGCGUGCGCUCGCCCCUGCGGACGCAGCCUGGAGGAGCGGGGGGGCAGGCGGGCCCCGGAGCGGGAUUAGGGCACGGCGUCGGCAGGGGGACGGCUCCUGAUGCAAUAGGCGUGCCCGAGAGUGCUGGUAGGUCAUGAAGGAGUUUAAAAUCUCUGGACUAAAUAGGGUUAAGGUCAACUUGAGUUAGAUACGAUUAGUGCAGCUCCAAGUUAUUUACUUGAGAAUUGUGGCUAGGCAAGCAAGAAGAUGGGUAGAAGACAGAUGCUCCUGGACACCCUGAGGCCUCCCCUGCCCCCAGGCACAGACUGUGGGUACCAGCCGACMUGGGCACCAACUGAUUGGAACCCCCGCUGAGCCCUGCUCCCUCCUGUACAGCUGCCCCAAAGCCAUGGGUUUCCCCGGUGCASCAUGUGUCCAUGGGUCCUCUCUCCAGGCACUCGUACGCUGCGCAGGGGUCUGGAUGUCUCCAGCAGCGGCACAGCAGCCUGAUGCCUCCUCUCAUCUGGGACGCGGGGUCCUUCGCAGCUCUUCUGGGAUGCGGGGUCCUUGCAAUAUCCAAGGUAACACAAAUGUGGCUCCAACUGUAAUGUACGU